GUCUUCUUGUUAUAUUUAGGAAGUCUGGCCUGCCCAGUGAAAAUAAUUUAACGGCCGCGGUAUCCUGACCGUGCAAAGGUAGCAUAAUCAUUAGUCUUUUAAUAGAGGGCUGGUAUGAAGGGUUUAACGAGGUGUUGACUGUCUCAUUUAAUUUGUAUUUAGAAUUUAAUUUUUUAGUUAAAAAGCUAAAAUAUUAUUGGAAGACGAGAAGACCCUAUAGAGCUUUAUAUUUUUAUUAUUAAUUUAUUAUAGAUUAUUAUUAUUUAUUAUUAAUAGAAGUAUUUUGUUGGGGUGACAAAAAUAUAUAAAUAACUUUUUUAUUUUAUUUACAUUGAUAUAUGAAUAUUAGAUCCAAUCUUAUUGAUUGUUAGAUUAAGUUACCUUAGGGAUAACAGCGUAAUCCCUCUCCAGAGUUCAUAUUUACAGAGGGGCUUGCGACCUCGAUGUUGGAUUAAGAUAAUAAUUAGGUGCAGCCGCUUAAUUAAUAGGUCUGUUCGACCUUUAAAUUCUU
rnacentral:rRNA from 1 species